rnacentral:rRNA from 1 species
UACGAAGGGUGCAAGCGUUAAUCGGAAUUACUGGGCGUAAAGUGUGCGCAGGCGGCCGCGCAAGUCGAGUGUGAAAGCCCCGGGCUUAACUUGGGAAUUGCGCUCGAAACUACGUGGCUGGAGUGUGGCAGAGGAAGGUGGAAUUCCAGGUGUAGCGGUGAAAUGCGUAGAGAUCUGGAGGAACACCAGUGGCGAAGGCGGCUCUCUGGAACGCAACUGACGCUGAGACGCGAAAGCGUGGGGAGCAAACAGG